CAGUAGCCGCGGUAAUACAGAGGGUGCGAGCGUUAAUCGGAUUUACUGGGCGUAAAGCGUGCGUAGGCGGCUUCUUAAGUCUGAUGUGAAAUCCCUGAGCUUAACUUAGGAAUUGCAUUCGAUACUGGGAAGCUAGAGUAUGGGAGAGGAUGGUAGAAUUCCAGGUGUAGCGGUGAAAUGCGUAGAGAUCUGGAGGAAUACCGAUGGCGAAGGCAGCCAUCUGGCCUAAUACUGACGCUGAGGUACGAAAGCAUGGGGAGCAAACAGGAUUAGAUACCCGUGUAGUCCCUGUCUCUUAUAC
rnacentral:rRNA from 1 species